GCAUGACUGAAUAGUCCCACAAUAGGACGAAACGGUCGUCCAAUGC
rfam:Schistosoma rodhaini strain Burundi genome assembly, scaffold: SROB_scaffold0003520